rnacentral:rRNA from 1 species
CCUACGGGCCGCAGCAGUAGGGAAUCUUCGGCAAUGGACGAAAGUCUGACCGAGCAUCGCCGCGUGAGUGAAGAAGGUUUUCGGAUCGUAAAACUCUGUUGGUAGAGAAGAACGUUGGUGAGAGUGGAAAGCCCAUCAAGUGACGGUAACUACCCAGAAAGGGACGGCUAACUACGUGCCAGCAGCCGCGGUAAUACGUAGGUCCCGAGCGUUGUCCGGAUUUAUUGGGCGUAAAGCGAGCGCAGGUGGUUUAUUGAGUCUGGUGUAAAAGGCAGUGGCUCAGCCAUUGUAUGCAUUGGAAACUGGUAGACUUGAGUGCAGGAGAGGAGAGUGGAAUUCCAUGUGUAGCGGUGAAAUGCGUAGAUAUAUGGAGGGACACCGGUGGCGAAAGCGGCUCUCUGGCCUGUAACUGACACUGAGGCUCAAAAGCGUGGGGAGCAAACAGGAUUAGAUACCCCAGUAGUC